CCUACGGGGGACAGCAGUGAGGAAUAUUGGUCAAUGGACGAGAGUCUGAACCAGCCAAGUAGCGUGAAGGAUGACUGCCCUAUGGGUUGUAAACUUCUUUUAUAAAGGAAUAAAACGAGGCACGUGUGCCUUUUUGCAUGUACUUUAUGAAUAAGGAUCGGCUAACUCCGUGCCAGCAGCCGCGGUAAUACGGAGGAUCCGAGCGUUAUCCGGAUUUAUUGGGUUUAAAGGGGGCGUAGAUGGGUUGUUAAGUCAGUUGUGAAAGUUUGCGGCUCAACCGUAAAAUUGCAAUUGAUACUGGCAGUCUAGAGUACAGGUGAGGUAGGCGGAAUUCGUGGUGUAGCGGUGAAAUGCUUAGAUAUCACGAAGAACCCCGAUUGCGAAGGCAGCUUACUAAACUGUGACUGACAUUGAUGCUCGAAAGUGUGGGUAUCAAACAGGAUUAGAUACCCUGGUAGUC
rnacentral:rRNA from 1 species